rnacentral:lncRNA from 1 species
CUCCACUCUCCGGAUGCUGCUGUCUGACCCAGAUCUGGAUCUCCUGGAGAAGGACAGCCGGGAACUGUUCUAGGACCAGCAACUCCAGGAUCUGCUCUUUUGUACACUUCUCUGGCCUUAGCCACUGACAACAGAGCUUCUGGAGCUGGAGGAGGGCCUCUCGGGGUCGUGAUGCUUCUUGGUAACGGAAAUGCCAAAAGCUCUGGCAGGAUGUCUCUGGUCCAGAGUAAUUCCCUUGAAGGGAAAUUUCCUGCUCCCAGUGGGAAUCUUCUUCCAGUUUAACUAUUUGGAGAUCUUGUACUGAAGGAGUCUGGAUUUGUUGGUCCACAGCUACAGCCAUUGUUCAGGUCAGAGAAGAGCCUUGCAACUGCACUCUAAAGCUCAAACCUCUUCAUCACCUCACUGGGAAGCCAUCUUAGAACUUCCACUUAGGAGUCACUAAGUGGAACUUCUCUUGAAAUUCUAGAGUCAGAGACAUACGUUACAAAGUUAACUCUAGUAAAAAUCGCAAGUGUUAGCCCAGCAGGCUUGAGGUGAAGAAGAGAGCCUUCCUGUCCCAGCCCUGUUGCAUGCCCUGGUGCCUGUGGAGUCAGUGGUGGGGUGGCAGUUCCGGAAGUUUGAUAAGAGCAGUCAAGGGCUAGUGACCUGGUUGAAAAGUAGAGGAGCUUGAAGCUGAGAGAAUACGGACGAUUCGGCCCCGUGACAUGUUCUUCGCGGGGACGCAAGAAGCCCGAGCCCAGGCCCCAAACACGGCUAUUCGGCUAGCCACUGAGCACCUGAAGCGGAAAACCUAGCCCCAGAAGGACUCCGUGUUCUCCGGAACUACAUUUCCCAGAGGCCGCCGCCCGAAGACAGACAGCAGCGUUAGCCAAUAAAAUGGGAGAAUAUCUCAGGCGCCUAUUCGUUUCAGACGAAUCAUUGAUGACAGGUAUUUCUCAUGGCUUUAACAGUGGACUUCAGGAGUCAUGGUUAAGUAACAGGUGUGGGGCAGGUAACUGACCAAACCUCUCCUCUGAGCCUCCAUUUUCUUACCUGUAGAGUGAGGAUACUUACCUCCCUCCUAGGGCUGUCAGGAUUAAAUGAGAUGGCAGGUAAAGACCUUAGCACAGUGCCUGGCGCAUGGUAACUGCUCUGUCCAUUUUGUCACUAUAAGCUCUUCUGGUUUAUUGUAA